UAGAAGUUCCUCCACAAUGGACUGGCUUCCCUUCUACCUCCUGCCCCUCAUUUUCUCCACAGGUCUCUGUGCUGCGCCUGUGCUGACCCAGUCUCCAUCUGCUUCUGCCUCCCUGGGAGCCUCUGUCAAGCUCACCUGCACCCUGAGCAGCGAGCACAGCACCUACUACAUUCAGUGGUAUCAACAGAGACCAGGGAAGGCCCCUGGGUAUGUGAUGAAGGUCAGCAGUGAUGGAAGCCACACCAAGGGGGAUGGCAUCCCCAACCGCUUCUCAGGCUCCAGCUCUGGGGCUGACCGAUACUUAACCAUCUCCAACAUCCAGUCUGAGGAUGAGGCUGAGUAUUAUUGUGGUGUAAGCUAUAAAACUGGUGACCAAUAUGGGUAA